ACAACAACAACAACAACAACAACAACAACAAAUGCAGAUUUUUAGAAAUGUAUGGAAAAUGGAGAAAAGAAGGAAGGAAGCAGGGAGAGACAGAAGGAAGAGAUCUUACAAGCUUUCAAGUCUAAGGUCUCAUUUGCAGUCUGGUGACCCUGAAUCUAUACCAAUGUGGUGACCAUACUGUGAACACAGAAAAUCUCUCUUUACACCCUGCAUGCUCUCUGCACUCCAUAAUUGGAAAAAGAUUCAGAGAACAAUAUGAACAUUUGCAAAAGAGGAAAUCUUCUCUCAUGAAUAUGUGGUGUGACUUCUCUUUAAAUUCAGCUGUCAUUCUUUUCUUCUAUAAAGAAAACCGUACUAUUAAUUCCAGCUGGUAACUCCUGACAAAUGCAAAGACAUUUUUAAUUUGGAACAGAGUGUGUUUGUGUGUUGUUGUUGUUGCUGCUUAAUAACACUAAGCUUUCUAACCUUUGCUUUGUCUUCCCACAAUAAAUAAUCACAAAGUACUC